rnacentral:miRNA from 1 species
GACCAGAAGAGAGUGAGCACAGAGGGUUCUUUUCUUGCAUGGUCUGUCCCCANGCUCGAAGCUCUGUGUGCUCACCAUCUCUCUGUCACCCCACGUCCUCUCUNUCUCUCUC